UUAUUUCAUCAAUUCUUAUUUCGGGUUGAUUAUCUUGGUUAUUUUCUUUUUUUUCUUCUAAUUGCAAUUUUUCUUUAAAUUUAAUUAUCUCAUUUGCUAAUUUUGUUUUUUGUUCCUUUUCUUUUUGUUUGAUUUCGUACAUUUCUUUUUGUUUAAUUUCGUACAUUUCUUUUAAUAUUGCCAGCUCUUUUUCUAGCUCUAUUAUUUUAGUAUUUUUUACUUUUUCUAAUUGUUGUACUUCCUUUUUUGCUUGUUGUUUUAUUUUUUCAAUUUCCGUUUUUCUAUCUAUUUCUUCAUUUUCUUUUGUUAUUCUUAUCAUAGCAGUUAAACUAUCUUCUAUUUUACCGUUUCUUUAUCUAACAUUAAAUUUAGAUUGUCACCUAUUUUC
rnacentral:lncRNA from 1 species